AUUGAACGCUGGCGGAAUGCUUUACACAUGCAAGUCGAACGGCAGCACGGGGGCAACCCUGGUGGCGAGUGGCGAACGGGUGAGUAAUACAUCGGAACGUGCCCGGUCGUGGGGGAUAACGUAGCGAAAGUUACGCUAAUACCGCAUACGAUCUGAGGAUGAAAGCGGGGGACCUUCGGGCCUCGCGCGAUCGGAGCGGCCGAUGUCAGAUUAGGUAGUUGGUGGGGUAAAGGCCUACCAAGCCGACGAUCUGUAGCUGGUCUGAGAGGACGACCAGCCACACUGGGACUGAGACACGGCCCAGACUCCUACGGGAGGCAGCAGUGGGGAAUUUUGGACAAUGGGCGCAAGCCUGAUCCAGCCAUUCCGCGUGCAGGACGAAGGCCUUCUGGUUGUAAACUGCUUUUGUAUGGAACGAAAAGGCUCUGGCUAAUACCUGGGGCUCAUGACGGUACCGUAAGAAUAAGCACCGGCUAACUACGUG
rnacentral:rRNA from 1 species